UCCGUAGGCGGGCAGCUAAGUCAGUGGUGAAAGUCUGCAGCUCAACUGUAGAAUUGCCAUUGAUACUGGUUGUCUUGAAUUAUUAUGAAGUGGUUAGAAUAUGUAGUGUAGCGGUGAAAUGCAUAGAUAUUACAUAGAAUACCAAUUGCGAAGGCAGAUCACUAAUAAUAUAUUGACGCUGAUGGACGAAAGCGUGGGGAGCGAACAGGAUUGGAUACCCUGGUAGUCC
rnacentral:rRNA from 1 species